rnacentral:rRNA from 1 species
UGGGGAAUAUUGCACAAUGGGCGAAAGCCUGAUGCAGCGACGCCGCGUGAGGGAUGACGGCCUUCGGGUUGUAAACCUCUUUCAGUAGGGACGAAGCGCAAGUGACGGUACCUGCAGAAGAAGCACCGGCUAACUACGUGCCAGCAGCCGCGGUAAUACGUAGGGUGCGAGCGUUGUCCGGAAUUACUGGGCGUAAAGAGCUCGUAGGCGGUUUGUCACGUCGUCUGUGAAAUCCUAGGGCUUAACCCUGGACGUGCAGGCGAUACGGGCUGACUUGAGUACUACAGGGGAGACUGGAGUUUCUGGUGUAGCGGUGGAAUGCACAGAUAUCAGGAAGAGCACCGAUGGCGAAGGCAGGUCUCUGAGUAGUAACUGACGCUGAGGAGCGAAAGAAUGGGUAGCGAACAGG